rnacentral:misc_RNA from 1 species
GAUGAAGAACGUAGCGAAAUGCGAUAAGUAAUGUGAAUUGCAGAAUUCAGUGAAUCAUCGAAUCUUUGAACGCACAUUGCGCCCUCCGGCAUUCCGGGGGGCAUGCCUGUCCGAGCGUCACGAAAACCCCAUCACACUCGUUGUGGUCAUGGCUGCAGUGAGUCGUCUCCAGCGGAGAGGGUCACGCCGCUGAAAGGAAUGGUGCGGAUGAGUUUCGAUGGCCGAACGUAGUACUUGACAACCGUCGGCCGAUGGGACCCUCCAUCUCGCCCUGACGACGUACCCCCGUCGUACCCCCGAUCAGGUGGACCUCGGAUCAGGUAGGGAUACCCGCUGAACUUAAGCAUAUCAAUAAGCGGAGGA